UUCCGGUUGAUCCUGCCGGAGGCGACCGCUUUGGGAGUUCGAUUAAGCCAUGCGAGUCGUGAGCCUUAGGGACUCGGCAUACUGCUCAGUAACACGUGGAUAACCUGCCCUAUCGUCUGGAAUAACCUCGGGAAACUGAGAAUAAGGCCGGAUAGUUCACAAUGCCUGGAACGGUUUGUGAAUCAAGGUAGGAUGGGUCUGCGGCGUAUCAGGUUGUAGGGGGUGUAAAGGACCCCCUAGCCUUCGAUGCGUACGGGUGUUGGGAGACAUAGCCCGGAGAUGGAUUCUGAGACACGAAUCCAGACCUUACGGGGUGCAGCAGGCGCGAAAACUUCACACUGCAGGAAACUGUGAUGAGGGAACUCCUAGUGCAUGCACUAUGUGUAUGUAGAUCCUACUCUUAACAAGUAGAGGGAAAGGGCUGGGAAAGACCGGUGCCAGCCGCCGCGGUAGUACCGGCAGCUCAAGUGGUCGUCGCUUUUAUUGGGCCUAAAACGUCUGUAGCCUGUUUGGUAAAUCUGUGGGUAAAUCAAUCCGCUCAACGGAUUGAAUUCUGCAGAGACUGCCAGACUAGGGACCGGGAGAGGUGUGGGGUACUCGAGGGGUAGGGGUAAAAUCCUGUCAUCCUUCGAGGACCACCAGUUGCGAAGGCGCCACACUGGAACGGAUCCGACGGUCAGGGACGAAGCCUAGGGGCACGAACCGGAUUAGAUACCCGGGUAGUCCUAGGUGUAAACGCUGUGAACUUGGUGUCGGGGGUCCGCAAGGGGUCCCCGGUGCCGGAGUGAAGAUGUUAAGUUCACUGCCUGGGGAGUACGGUCGCAAGGCUGAAACUUAAAGGAAUUGGCGGGGCAGCAC
rnacentral:rRNA from 1 species